AACUCUGAUUCUAGAAUUUUUG
rnacentral:miRNA from 1 species